rnacentral:rRNA from 1 species
CGUAGGGUGCGAGCGUUAAUCGGAAUUACUGGGCGUAAAGCGUGCGCAGGCGGUUUGUUAAGAUAGGCGUGAAAUCCCCGGGCUCAACCUGGGAACUGCGCUUAUGACUGGCAAGCUAGAGUACGGCAGAGGGGGUGGAAUUCCACGUGUAGCAGUGAAAUGCGUAGAGAUGUGGAGGAACACCAAUGGCGAAGGCAGCCCCCUGGGUCGAUACUGACGCUCAUGCACGAAAGCGUGGGUAGCAAACAGGAUUAGAUACCCUGGUAGUCCACGCCCUAAACGAUGUCAACUAGGUGUUGGAUGGGUAAAACCAUUUAGUACCGGAGCUAACGCGUGAAGUUGACCGCCUGGGGAGUACGGCCGCAAGGGUUA